CACACAAAGACACUCCAGUAUCGUCACUUCCGAGCUACUCACAAAUCGCAACAGCACUAAGAGUAUAAAGUACCCGACAGCGAGGUACGCCGCUACAACCGCCUGAUUGCGAAGACGUCCAAACGCUGCAUCAAAGCUAAACCAUACAACACAAUGGCCUCAUCUCGCACCUUGGUAGCCUUUCUAGCUGUGUUCGUGCUGUGUGGAAUGUUGAUUCAGACCUCGGACGCCUUUCUAAGGAAUGGCAGAGAUGAGAUCUACGCCAAGAAGCGCGCCGAGAUGGGCUACCCUCCACGUUGGGAGGAGUACGAGAACCAGCUCUACCAGCGACGAGACGAGGAUGCCAAGAGAUCGAAACAGUAGACCACAGCCAUAGACAAGGACGAAUCACGUACAGAGGCCCAUAUAUGGUGUACUAACGGUGCAUGCGCAAAUACCCGCUGAUCGAUGUUUUUAAGUCACUGCGGGCUCAAUUGUAUAAAUAGAGUCAAAUGUCGAUAGUAGUGUCGUACUAUUUAAAUCAAUAAAGAACAGAAAUAGCUCUGA